AUUGAACGCUGGCGGCAGGCCUAACACAUGCAAGUCGAGCGGAUGAAGGGAGCUUGCUCCUGGAUUCAGCGGCGGACGGGUGAGUAAUGCCUAGGAAUCUGCCUGGUAGUGGGGGAUAACGUCCGGAAACGGGCGCUAAUACCGCAUACGUCCUGAGGGAGAAAGUGGGGGAUCUUCGGACCUCACGCUAUCAGAUGAGCCUAGGUCGGAUUAGCUAGUUGGUGGGGUAAAGGCCUACCAAGGCGACGAUCCGUAACUGGUCUGAGAGGAUGAUCAGUCACACUGGAACUGAGACACGGUCCAGACUCCUACGGGAGGCAGCAGUGGGGAAUAUUGGACAAUGGGCGAGAGCCUGAUCCAGCCAUGCCGCGUGUGUGAAGAAGGUCUUCGGAUUGUAAAGCACUUUAAGUUGGGAGGAAGGGCAGUAAGUUAAUACCUUGCUGUUUUGACGUUACCAACAGAAUAAGCACCGGCUAACCUCGUG
rnacentral:rRNA from 1 species